GGUGUCAUCUGUGUGACAAAUCCCUAAAGUAGUCCCUCAUCAGAUCCCGCUUGAGAGCAGCAUUUGCAGGAGGGCUUGUGGGGUUGCAGAUGGGGUCAGUGGAAAUGGAACAGAAUUAAUGGGAUACACAGACCUAGUCAGAAGCCUCAUUGUGCCUGAGCUUUAUUCCUCUAUCCCUGUGGUGAAGCUGGUGUUGGCUGUUCACUCUGUGGUGCAAUUCUGGCUCCAAAAUAGACUGUCUCUCUCUCUUUUUUUUUUUUUAGACGGAGUUUCGCUCGUUGCCCAGACUGGAGUGCAAUGGCGCGAUCUUGGCUCAACGCAACCUCCGCCUCCGGGUUUAAGCAAUUCUCCUGCCUCAGCCUCCCGAGUAGCUGGGAUUACAGGCAUGUGCCACCACACGCAGCUAAUUUUGUAUUUUUAGUAGAGACGGGGUUUCUCCAUGUUGGUCAGGCCAGUCUCGAACUUCCGACUUCGGGUGAUCUGCCCGCCUCGGCCUCCCAAAGUGCUGGGAUUACAGGCUUGAGCCACUGUGUUUGGCUCUGGACUGUCUCUUUAAAAGUCCUUCUGGUUGUAACUGAAGCAGUAACUGAAGCAGCCGCUGAAGCUGUUACUAGGGGCAACCUGGCAAGCCAUAGUGCAUUAAAUUAAAUUAAACAGGCUUGUGACUGCCCCCUCCCCUCCUGGAGAAGGGAGGGGGUAUUCCCCCUCUAUCCUGGAGAAUAAAGUUGCUGUGAAACCUCUUAUGGCUGCAAGGAAUUCAGUUACAGAGUUUAUGACUCCCAGAGGCAAGAUGUUUGGAGGCAGCCUGGGAGGAGGCUCACAGGACUUCUGCCAGAAGAGGAGUAUUUACAGUGAACCUGCCUGGGGUGGGUGGCCUCCGGUCAGGACACCCCCACCUUUCUCUCAUUCGAUCCUUAUCACAAUCCCGUGGGCUGGGGAUUCCGUGGUCUAUGAGAGAGGCUGGCCAGCGUAUCAGGAAACAGAGACUACAGAAAAAGCCACCGGCCCAGCCCCAUAGCCCAGGGCAGAAGUGCCAGGAUUCAAGUUCAGAUCUGCCUCCCUCCAAUGCCCCUGUUGUUUCCACCUCAUCAUGCUGACUCUGUGAAGGCUGACACUGCAGAAAUAAAAGUCACAAGGUGGCAG
rnacentral:lncRNA from 1 species